rnacentral:rRNA from 1 species
GACGAACGCUGGCGGCGUGCUUAACACAUGCAAGUCGAACGGAAAGGCCCUGCUUUUGUGGGGUGCUCGAGUGGCUAACGGGUGAGUAACACGUGAGUAACCUGCCCUUGACUUUGGGAUAACUUCAGGAAACUGGGGCUAAUACCGGAUAGGAGCUCCUGCUGCAUGGUGGGGGUUGGAAAGUUUCGGCGGUUGGGGAUGGACUCGCGGCUUAUCAGCUUGUUGGUGGGGUAGUGGCUUACCAAGGCUUUGACGGGUAGCCGGCCUGAGAGGGUGACCGGCCACAUGGGGACUGAGAUACGGCCCAGACGCCUACGGUAGGCAGCAGUGGGGAAUAUUGCACAGUGGGCGGAAGCCUGAUGCAGCGACGCCGCGUGCGGGAUGACGGCCUUCGGGUUGUAAACCGCUGUCGCCUGUGACGAAGCGUGAGUGACGGUAAUGGGUAAAGAAGCACCGGCUAACUACGUG